ensembl:snRNA U1 U1 spliceosomal RNA
AGACUGACCCAGCAGGGGAAAACCAUGAUCAUGAAGGUGACUUUCCAGGGUGAGACCCAUCUAUUGCACUCUGGGUGUGCUGACAUUUUUGAUUUCCCCAAAUGUGGGAGACUUGUUUGCAUAAUUUAUGGUAGUGGGGGACUGUGUGCACUUUCUUCCC